UUAUAAGAUGUGUUAUCUAUGUCAAUUCAACUUUUGAGAGUCGUAUUCAGAUUGUAUCAUCGUGUCUGUUUAUAUGCAAUAUUAAAGAACCUGAUCUAACUAAUCAGGUCCUUUUUUGA
rnacentral:sRNA from 1 species